AAAAAUCUAAAUUGUACAUAGCAUAGCUGAGGAAUCCUGUGACUUAUAUGUUGUAUCUAAGCAUGUUGACCAUUGUUGUUGCUGUAAAUUUUCCUUGUUUUUAUCCUAACUGAAGGGACCUGUUGUUUAUCAAUGUUAAGAAUCUUUUUACCUUUGCUUGGAAGCUGAUUGAACUGUUGAAAUGUUAAUUUCUGCUUUGAAUUGAUCGUUGUAUUAGCUAUAAAAUCUACUAAUUGAUUCGCCUCUCUAAAAACAUGCCAAACUUGUACAUUUAUUUUCUGAAUGACUUGCUGGAUAUCUUCCACUUUCUCAAUCACCUCCCACGGUAUUCUCCAAUAUCCUCUUAUCAGAUUUUUUAGAGCUAGAGAAUCUGUUUCCAAUCGAACUUGACUAUAUCUAUUUUCCAUACAAUAAUGUAAAGCUUUCCACACUGCCAUUACCUCAGCUUCCAUGUUGGUGGCCUCAGCUAUAUUGUGUGCUUCCGCAUAUAUAAGGUCUCCAUUUCCAUCCCUUAUACAAUACCCAUAAGAACUCUUUCCCGG
rnacentral:lncRNA from 1 species